rnacentral:rRNA from 1 species
GAUGAACGCUGGCGGCGUGCCUAAUACAUGCAAGUCGAGCGAACAGAUGAGGAGCUUGCUCCUCUGACGUUAGCGGCGGACGGGUGAGUAACACGUGGAUAACCUACCUAUAAUACUGGGAUAACUUCGGGAAACCGGAGAUAAUACCGGAUAAUAUAUUGAACCGCAUGGUUCAAUAGUGAAAGACGGUUUUGCUGUCACUUAUAGAUGGAUCCGCGCCGCAUUAGCUAGUUGGUAAGGUAACGGCUUACCAAGGCAACGAUGCGUAGCCGACCUGAGAGGGUGAUCGGCCACACUGGAACUGAGACACGGUCCAGACUCCUACGGGAGGCAGCAGUAGGGAAUCUUCCGCAAUGGGCGAAAGCCUGACGGAGCAACGCCGCGUGAGUGAUGAAGGUCUUCGGAUCGUAAAACUCUGUUAUUAGGGAAGAACAAAUGUGUAAGUAACUAUGCACGUCUUGACGGUACCUAAUCAGAAAGCCACGGCUAACUACGUG